rnacentral:rRNA from 1 species
GAUUAACGCUAGCGGCAGGCCUAAUACAUGCAAGUCGAACGGGAUUCAAAGUAGCAAUAUUUUGAUGAGAGUGGCGCACGGGUGAGUAACACGUAUGCAAUUUACCUUUAACUGGGGGAUAGCCCUCCGAAAGGAGGAUUAAUACCGCAUAAUAUAUUGAAAUGGCAUCAUUUUAAUAUUAAACCUACGGGGGUUAAAGAUGAGCAUGCAUCCGAUUAGCUAGUUGGUGUGGUAACGGCUCACCAAGGCAACGAUCGGUAGGGGGUCUGAGAGGAUGAUCCCCCACACUGGUACUGAGACACGGACCAGACUCCUACGGGAGGCAGCAGUAAGGAAUAUUGGACAAUGGAGGCAACUCUGAUCCAGCCAUGCCGCGUGAAGGAUUAAGGCCCUAUGGGUUGUAAACUUCUUUUAGACGGGACAAAACCCCUUUUACGUGUAAAGGGUUGAUGGUACUGUCAGAAUAAGCAUCGGCUAACUUCGUGCCCAGCAGCCCGACGGUAAAAGUACUCU